GACGAACGCUGGCGGCGUGCUUAACACAUGCAAGUCGAGCGGAAAGGCCCUUCGGGGUACUCGAGCGGCGAACGGGUGAGUAACACGUGAGUAACCUGCCCCAGACUUUGGGAUAACCCUCGGAAACGGGGGCUAAUACCGGAUACGACACAGCUUCGCAUGGGGUCUGUGUGGAAAGUUUUUCGGUUUGGGAUGGGCUCGCGGCCUAUCAGCUUGUUGGUGGGGUGAUGGCCUACCAAGGCGACGACGGGUAGCCGGCCUGAGAGGGCGACCGGCCACACUGGGACUGAGAAACGGCCCAGACUCCUACGGGAGGCAGCAGUGGGGAAUAUUGCACAAUGGGCGGAAGCCUGAUGCAGCGACGCCGCGUGAGGGAUGACGGCCUUCGGGUUGUAAACCUCUUUCAGCAGGGACGAAGCGUAAGUGACGGUACCUGCAGAAGAAGCGCCGGCCAACUACGUG
rnacentral:rRNA from 1 species